rnacentral:rRNA from 1 species
GAUGAACGCUGGCGGCGUGCCUAAUACAUGCAAGUCGAGCGAACAGACGAGGAGCUUGCUCCUCUGACGUUAGCGGCGGACGGGUGAGUAACACGUGGAUAACCUACCUAUAAGACUGGGAUAACUUCGGGAAACCGGAGCUAAUACCGGAUAAUAUAUUGAACCGCAUGUUCAAUAGUGAAAGACGGUUUUGCUGUCACUUAUAGAUGGAUCCGCGCCGCAUUAGCUAGUUGGUAAGGUAACGACUUACCAAGGCAACGAUGCGUAGCCGACCUGAGAGGGUGAUCGGCCACACUGGAACUGAGACACGGUCCAGACUCCUACGGGAGGCAGCAGUAGGGAAUCUUCCGCAAUGGGCGAAAGCCUGACGGAGCAACGCCGCGUGAGUGAUGAAGGUCUUCGGAUCGUAAAACUCUGUUAUUAGGGAAGAACAAAUGUGUAAGUAACUAUGCACGUCUUGACGGUACCUAAUCAGAAAGCCACGGCUAACUACGUG